GCUGGUCCGAUGGAACAGAGAGGUGAGAGGCGAUGAAAUGAGGCCCUCUUCGGCUUUGGGCCUUGAGGCACAGGCCUCAACCGCCUCGCCUCAGGACCGGCCCUGGAGCUAAGACCCAAAAACGAGUUACGAAAGCACCAGGGUUCAACACGAGCCACUUGCAUGCUUCAUUUCAUGACAAUAUUAGCCAUCGAGGCAUAGAAAAGAAUCAUUCCAAAAAACAAUUAUUCCUCUCAUGGGGAUGUUGUAACAGCCGUCCCCGUCUCAUCUUCAGGGAAUCCGAAUUUCUCAAACAGACCCUGAAGCAUGAAGAUAGAAUAGAUGGUGACUGAUUAAAAAAAGAGAGGAAAGAAUAGUAAUUCAUGCUACAUAAAUACUGGCGUACCAUUGUAUCAUUGAUUGCAUAGGCCACACAGUAGUGCUCCUGAAAAUCAGCAAUUUUAGAACAAAAACCUUCAAACUCAUUUCAACCAUGUUAAAAACUAUAAUUGAUCCUUUUUUUUUUUUUUUUAAAAAAAAGAAAUCGUUCUUGUUUUCUGAAAAGGAAUUCAUGAAUGCAAUGCACAUUAUUCAGAUAAAAGAACAUUUUUAUUAUGCAGUAUUCAUUAUUCAGAUAGAACAUUUUUCUUUUUUUAAAGU
rnacentral:lncRNA from 1 species